CCUACGUGGAGCCGCAGUGAGGAAUAUUGGUCAAUGGGCGCGAGCCUGACCCAGCCAAGUAGCGUGAAGGAUGACUGCCCUACGGGUUGUCAACUUCUUUUAUCAAGGAAUAAAGUGAGACACGUGUGCCUUUUUGUAUGUACUUUAUGACUAAGGAUCGGCUAACUCCGUGCCAGCAGCCGCGGUAAUACGGAGGAUGCGAGCGUUAUCCGGAUUUAUUGGGUUUAACGGUAGCGUAGAUGGGUUGUUAAGUCAGUUGUGAAAGUUUGCGGCUCAACCGUAAAAUUGCAAUUGAUACUGGCAGUCUUGAGUACAGUUGAGGUAGGCGGAAUUCGUGGUGUAGCGGUGAAAUGCUUAGAUAUCACGAAGAACUCCGAUUGCGAAGGCAGCUUACUAAACUGCCACUGACAUUGAUGCUCGAAAGUGUGGGUAUCAAACAGGAUUAGAUACCCCAGUAGGC
rnacentral:rRNA from 1 species